GGGAGGAGAGGGACAGAGAGCCUGCUUGCUUUGCUCCUUUAAAGCAAGCAGGCUCUCUGUCCCUCUCUCCUCCC